GACGAACGCUGGCGGCGUGCUUAACACAUGCAAGUCGAACGGAAAGGCCCUGCUUUUGUGGGGUGCUCGAGUGGCGAACGGGUGAGUAACACGUGAGUAACCUGCCCUUGACUUUGGGAUAACUUCAGGAAACUGGGGCUAAUACCGGAUAGGAGCUCCUGCUGCAUGGUGGGGGUUGGAAAGUUUCGGCGGUUGGGGAUGGACUCGCGGCUUAUCAGCUUGUUGGUGGGGUAGUGGCUUACCAAGGCUUUGACGGGUAGCCGGCCUGAGAGGGUGACCGGCCACAUUGGGACUGAGAUACGGCCCAGACUCCUACGGGAGGCAGCAGUGGGGAAUAUUGCACAAUGGGCGGAAGCCUGAUGCAGCAACGCCGCGUGCGAGAUAACGGCCUUCGGGGUGUAAACCGCUUUCGCCUGUGACGAAGCGUGAGUGACGGUAAUGGGUAAAGAAGCACCGGCUAACUACGUG
rnacentral:rRNA from 1 species